GUAUACUAGUAGUACAGUGUAUCUUUUGAAGCCAUACCUGCUGUUAAUGGAAGCAAUCACUGUAAAAUUUUUGCUGUAAAAGUCUAGGUGAACUGGAGGACUGGGAAAAACUUUCUGUAACGCAUGGGCUCAACAACUGAAUGCAGUAUAUGUUUACUGGCUUGUCUGAUUUCAGAAUCUCAUUAAGUAUUAUAUUUAAAUGAUUUUGGAUAAUGUCAUAAUUGUAAUGUUAAAAAACUUGGAAAUUUGAAAGUCAAUUUGUUUGUAAACUUAGUUACUAUUGAAGUUUAUACUUAAUGAAAUUCUUCAGACAAGCUGUGAUAGAUGUUUUCUGUUCAGGAAAGUGUCUGUCACAAACUUAUGUGUACUUCAUACUUUACAUAAUGCGUGUGAGUGUGUGCACAAGUCUAAGUAACUAUGUGCACUUAUCUAAGAAACUGCACAUGGAAAUACUUGUGGUUUGUGAGAAUGUGUAGGAAACUCUGUGUUUUAGGAAAUUGUCUCUGUUUAAGAAAACUCUGUUUAACCCUUUUGUUACUGUAGUUCUGUUCAAAUGUACCCUUUUAAAAUCAUUUUGAAAAUAAUGAAUAUAGUAAAAUAACUUUGACCGAUGUUUGGAACAAAUUAACAUGAAAUUUAAAUGGAAAAUUUUAAGCCUGUGUCUUAAAUAGGGACAAUCUCGGAUGGGUUGGUAUCAAAAGGGUUAAGUAAACUAUCUCUCUUUCCCUCUCUGUUUAAGUGAACUGUCUCUUUCCAAGAAAACUUAUUGUGUGUUUUAAGAAAACUGCUUCUCUGUGUUAAAGUAAACUGUCUCUAUCUGUAUGAAAUCUGCUUCUUUCUGUUUAAGAAAACUAUCUCUAGAUAGUUUUCUUAAGAAAAACUACCUCUACCACUCUCUGUUUUUAAAACUCUUUUGUGUUUUUUCUAAAUCUAAGAAAAUUGUCUUACCUGUAGAAAACUGUCUAGGCUAGAGUGAAUGUGGUAACGAAUAAUUGUCAGCCAAUUUUUCUAGAUUGGCAUAAUUGGUUACAGUGUUUCCCUUGGUAAGUAUGGAAGAAAUUCGAUGAUUGACAAGAUAAUGGUAGCUCUUGACAACUCGGCACAGAUGAUGAUAAUAUAGAACAUAAGUUCUUUUGUGAAAGCUAAUACUGCGCCAUUUGGUCAUGUCACUUGUGUUGUAUGAAUACUGGUAGGUAUCGGAAAUUGUAUCAGCAACAACAAUAUUGCAGAAAUACGACAUCCAUGCAAAGAUACUAAAUUGUUAUGAGACAAUUUGAUGAUUUCACUUAGAUUCCACGUAACCCAAGCAUUUAAUUUUAAAAUGAUAUGAGGGGGUCUUGAAAUCAUUUCUACUUGGAUCAGUAAACUUUUUAUUUUGCCCCCCUAUCUACUCAUCAUACCCCCACUCCCCAUUCCUUAAUUCUUUCAUGUAGUGCCUUCUUUUUAAAAGUUGAUCCACUUCAAUCACUAACUUUGGAACGAACUUGUGAUGCCUGAAGCAAUAUCCAUCCCUUGCUCAUUUGAUUUUCUGAAGUUCUUUUGUUUAAUUUGAUUAUGAAGACUCGAAGCAUGGAAAUCCUGAAAGUUUCCAAGAUGAACUUUAUACCGUAUAAGCUUUUUCACCUAAGUUUGAUACAUAUAUUUCUUGACCUGAUAUAUAUAUACAGUUAUAUAACAUGAUGUGAAAAAUUACACCAAAUAGUCCUUGAUAUAAAGAAUUUCACUGAAAAGUAGAACUUUUGAAUGAUAUUGAGAAGUAUUAUGCAAAUGAAAUACCAGCAUCUCUGAUUUAAAGAGUGAGGGGAGAAAUUCACCCGAUAAAAUGGGAAUUUCUUCUGCAAUUAUAUCUUAAUUUCCUGCAAUAUCAUCAACCGUUUUUCUCCUUCGACGGUUCUGAUUCUCUUCCCAUUUGACGAACAGUACUUGUGCAACUUAAGUUUACAUAAGAAUUCUUGAUUUAGAAAGCCAUUUAGUUUUUUUUUUUUUUUUUAAAUACUUCAUACUUAAAUACUGAUGGCUGGACUCUGUUCAUUUUGGCAAUUACUUUGAAAACUUCCCAUGCAAAUUAAGUGUCUGGAACGCUUUCUAAAUUCUGUCCUUGUUUGGAUGAAAUACGAAGUACCUUGUUGGAAUAUGAAUUACUUGGAGAAUCCUUGUGCUACUGAAUACCAGCAUGUGGAUCUGAAAUGCAGGUAUGUAUUCAACUGGUCACCACUGUUCUAUAAGGCUUAUACCCUAAAGCUGUUGUAUGGUAAGUGGGUUUGGCCAAUCUAUGUUGUAGGGAAGAUUUAGAGCUUGCUGCUUAUUCUAACCCCUUUUUUCUUUUCAUCCCAACCCUAAAUUCAUUGUAAUGCUUAAAUAUGUGUAAUGAAUUUUGUAAAUUGUUAGUGGUCUAUUUUAUCUGAUACUUGUUUUGGCAUAUGUCAAGCAUAUUUCUUGAGGAUUCCAUUUUUGAAUAUUUGGUCAAAGGUACUUUUUUAAAACAUUCUCUUACUAUAGUUAACUAUAUUCAAUGAGAUAUUUCUCUAUAUGUUUCUCCUUUUGAUUAUUUACUGGAUGUAAUAGAGGAAUUAGUGUUUCAGUAACUAUUAUGAUUUUGGUUAUUUUUUUAUCAAGAAUUGAUUAGCCUUGUUUUGCCUCAUGUUGCAUGUAUGCACAUACAGAUUUGGCAAAAACAAAACAAAAAGAUAGUUUUAAUGCAAAUUAAAUUUGAUAUUUGAUGAAAAUUGUUUUUUUUUUUUUUCUCCUCCACUUCCUUACUUAAAAUCUGAGAUAAGUUGAUCUCAACAUGUUCAUUCCACCAAACUGUUUUUCUCUCUCGUUGCUUGUAUAGUGGGUAAGGAAGUCAGUCCUCUACUUUAGGUUAUCUACACAUCCAUGAAAAUACCUCAUGAUGACAGGUAAACUUGUAUUUUUGACGUAAAGUCAAAUGUAGAUUGAUUGAAAGUAUCCGGUCCAUAACAAAUUCAGUAUGUCCCCAGUCCUUGAUAUAAUCUAUUUUCUAUCAAUCUUUGAGUAUCUAUGACUCUAUCAAUAACUUCCUUUCUUAUUUAACCCCUUUAGCAUUCAGAAUUACUCUGUCAAAUGUAUUGCUAAUUUAUUCAUAUUGCUUUGAAUUAUGCUUUUUCAUUUAACUUUUGAUGUGAUUAUUUUUAGUGUGAUAUUGUAGGGUAGCUGUGAGAGGCCACAUGGCCAAUUUGAAUAUAAAACUAGAUAGAAUAUUUAGACCUGUUACGGCCAGUUUAAAUGUUUGAGUAAAUUAAACCUGUUUUAAGAAUUUAUUAAAAUUUGAUAUUUUUAUAAUUUAUAGGUCUUUUUUUUUUCCCAUUUUUUAAGAGAAUAUUUUUUCCUCUUGGUUCUAGUCUUGAAAGUAAAUAGUAUUUAAUUAAGUUUCAAUCAAACUUACAAAUGGAUUUUGUUAAUAAGAUAGUUGAGUGUAAAAAAGUUAAUAACUAAGUAAUUUUAAUUUUUUAGUAUAAAAUCUUUAUGUAACUGUCAAAAGAAAUAGUAAUUUCUUAAUCACUUUCCAUUGUCACUUCUGUGAAUUCAUUGUAUUGGAACUUAUUUUCCUUUGGAAAUAUGAUUUGUACCAGGGUUUUUUUUUUAUAAGUGUGGUUAUUUCAGUAAAAUAGGUUUCCAAGUAAUGCUUAAACAUUUUAAAAUGUUGCAGUUAAAUUCUUUCCAUUCAAUAUGAAGGAACAGUAGCAAAUAUUUAAAGGUCUUACACUUUGAUUUUACUUAAAAACUACAAUCAAGAUAUCUUAAGUUUGAAUGAACAUUUCCUACUUUUAAAAGCUGAAAUGUCAACUUGCUAACUACUAUAAAUUUAUUUGUAAUGAAAUUAAUUUCUGAUAAUUAUUUAACUGUUUGUUGAUGGAUAAAGUGUGUAUCCUGAAUGGAAGCAUUUUCCCUUUCAUCAUUUUAAAAAUGCUUUUGAUGUCAGUUCACAAUUUAUUUUCUGGUGACUCAAUUCCAUGAAGUAUUAAAGUUGGUUGUUGUCUUUUUAAAACUUGUUCAUUUAGUUUUUAGUUCUUUGGUCUUUCUGUCAGUCUUACACACUUUUAGUGAAUAAAGGUUGAUCUAAGAUACUUGGAAUUAAGGUUUCAUUGAUUUCCAUCACUUGCUUUUUCAUCAAUUCUUUAAAAAAUUGUUUUAGGAAACCAUAAAUUCUCAUAACAAAAAUUGGUGUAUUAAACUGUGCAUGUUUAUAUGAAACUUAAAUGCUUUAUUAAUUUGUGCUUGAUAUUUUUUUUUUUUUACAUUUUUUUUUUUCCAAAAUACCUGGAUUCUGUCUCAAAAUCCCACAAACUGAUACUGAUAACUGGAUUUAGAAUUCUUAAAGAUUUCUUUAUGAAGAAUAUUGUUCCCUUUUAUUGUGACAUCAGUAUGGCUUCAUGCAACUGAAGCAGAUGGCUUUUGUCCCAAUGACUUACCGUGACCAUAGUGCAAUUAGCAUGUAACAGUAUUAAAAUGUAUAAAUAUUUAUUUGAAUUUAUUUUUGUAACAAAUAUCAAAAACCUUUGGUGUUUGGCCAAGCACUUAAACUUGGAAACCUUUUUUCAUUCCCUCUAUAGAUUCAACAUUGAGAGUAUAUAUUAAGGAUUGUGACUAUCAUCAGAAGUGGGAGAUACCCAACAUCUUGUAAUAUUAAUUUCAAUACAAGAAACUCCUAGAUACAUUUAGACAUCAUCUUUUUAUUUCAUUACAACUUGCAGAUACUUGUAAAUAAGGUGAUAUCAGUAUCUUGUAGUAUCGAUUUUAUUACAAGAAACUACCAAUUACUUAAAAAAUACAAUGUAUGCAUUUAAGCUCAACCACAUUUUGAAAUGAGAAUGCAUAAUAAAUAUCUGAAUCUAAGAGAUUCAUCUAUGUAGAUUUUAUUUUCAAAGUAAAAAUUUGAAAUUUAAGAUCUUAUUUUUUACAUGGAGAGGAUUUAAUCUUGCUGAGUUCAGGUUUGACUUUUGCCACUUGAAAUGAAGUUAUGGAAUGGACCAGAAAAAAUGGUAACAUAAUUCCACAGUUUCAAGUGUUUGAUCUGAUAAUUGACCACAUUGGUUUCUGUUUUAAGAUUGGAUUACUGAUAAGGAAAGAAGGGGACUACUAUUGUUUCUCCAAGCUGAACAUGGCCAUGAAUCUGGAAAUGUCUGCUCCUGUCUACUUCUAGACAGUUAGUACUGUUGUAUUCUGACUAAUGUUGAAUUCUUCUAGCAGCUCAUUGUGAUAACAGCUAUUCUGAUAGGAUCACUCACUAGUGACCAUGUCUCAACUUGGUAAGUAAACUAUUUUGUGAUGCUGUCUUUUCAUAUUG
rnacentral:lncRNA from 1 species